GGGCAUAGGUGGUCUGGGUGCAGAGUUUGCUGAUAUAUUUAGAAGAGCUUUUGCUUCUCGUGUAUUUCCACCUUAUGUCACGAGCAGGUUCUGUGAUUUAUCUUUAAGCAAAUGUUAGACUUUCGUUAUGGAUUUUUCUUUUAUGUUAGUUUUUUUUUUAGCACGUUAAGGGAAUGCUUCUUUUUGGACCUCCUGGUACAGGAAAAACCCUUAUGGCACGGCAAAUUGGAAAGAUGCUGAAUGGAAAGGAUCCAAAGAUCGUUAAUGGUCCUGAGGUUCUGAGCAAGUUUGUUGGUGAGACAGAAAGAAUGUAAGAGACUUAUUUGCUGAUGCUGAGCAAGACCAGAGGACCCUUGGUGAUGCGAGUGAUGUACACGUCAUUAUAUUUGAUGAAAUCGAUGCUAUUUGUAAGUCAAGAGGCUCGACCAGAGAUGGCACAGGUGUCCAUGAUAGUAUUGUGAACCAGCUUUUGACAAAGAUAGAUGGUGUGGAGGCCUUGAACAAUGUUUUGCUUAUUGGAAUGACAAAAAGAAAGGAUUUGCUUGAUGAAGCUCUUUUAAGGCCGGGAAGAUUGGAGGUUCAAGUUGAGAUAAGCCUUCCUGAUGAAGCUGGACGUUUCCAAAUUCUUCAGAUUCACACAAACAAGAUGAAGGAAAAUUCUUUCCUUGGUCAUGAUAUCAAUCUCCAAGAGCUUGCUGCUCGAACAAAAAAUUACAGUGGGGCGGGGCUUGAAGGUGCUGUUAAAAGUGCUACAUCAUAUGCGUUAAACAGACAGUUAAGCAUGUAUGAUCUUACAAAGCC